GAGGGUAUAGCUCAGAGGUAGAGUGUGUGCUUAGCGUGCAGGAGGUUCUAGGUUCAAUCCCCAGUAUCGCCA
rnacentral:tRNA from 1 species